CAUCAGCUAGUUGGUAGGGUAACGGCCUACCAAGGCGAAGACGGGUAGGGGGCCUGAGAGGGUGACCCCCCACACGGGCACUGAGACACGGGCCCGACUUCUACGGAAGGCAGCAGUGAGGGAUAUUGCCCAAUGGACGGAAGUCUGAGGCAGCAACGCCGCGUGCGGGAUGAAGGCCUUCGGGUUGUAAACCGCUUUUCUGCGCGAAGAGGAAGGACGGUAGCGCAGGAAGAAGUCUCGGCUAACUACGUGCCAGCAGCCGCGGUAAAACGUAGGAGGCGAGCGUUAUCCGGAUUUACUGGGUGUAAAGCGCGUGCAGGCGGUCAUGUAAGUGGUGCGUGAAAGCGCCCGGCUCAACCGGGCGAGGCCGUGCCAAACUGCGUGACUGGAGGCAGGUAGAGGCGCGUGGAAUUCCGGGUGUAGUGGUGAAAUGCGUAGAUAUCCGGAGGAACACCAGUGGCGAAGGCGGCGCGCUGGGCCUGACCUGACGCUAAGACGCGAAAGCAUGGGGAGCGAACGGGAUUAGAAACCCCGGUAGUCCAUGCUGUAAACGCUGCAGACUAGGUGUUGCGUGCGACGAGUAUGCAGUGCCGAAGCCAACGUGAUAAGUCUGCCACCUGGGGACUACGGCCGCAAGGUUAAAACUCAAAGGAAUUGACGGGGGCCCGCACAAGCAGCGGAGCGUGUGGUUUAAUUCGAGGCUACACGAAGAACCUUACCUGGGCUUGACAUGGCGGUGGUAGGGAACCGAAAGGGGACCGACCUUCGGGAGCCGUCACAGGUGCUGCAUGGCUGUCGUCAGCUCGUGUCGUGAGAUGUUCGGUUAAGUCCGGUAACGAGCGCAACCCUCGCCGCUAGUUACAAGUGUCUAGCGGGACUGCCCGUUGAACGCGGGAGGAAGGUGGGGAUGACGUCAAGUCAGCAUGGCCUUUAUGUCCAGGGCUACACACACGCUACAAUGGCCGGUACAAUGGGUCGCCAACCCGCGAG
rnacentral:rRNA from 1 species